rnacentral:rRNA from 1 species
UACGUAGGCAGCGAGCGUUGUUCGGAAUUACUGGGCGUAAAGAGUGUGUAGGCGGUGCUCUAAGUUCGGUGUGAAAUCUCCUGCUUAACUGGGAGGGUGCGCCGGAAACUGGAGUGCUUGAGUGUGGGAGAGGAAAGCGGAAUUCCUGGUGUAGCGGUGAAAUGCGUAGAUAUCAGGAGGAACACCUGUGGUGUAGACGGCUUUCUGGACCAUUGCUGACGCUGAGACACGAAAGCGUGGGUAGCAAACAGG